GACGAACGCUGGCGGCGUGCCUAACACAUGCAAGUCGAGCGGGGUUGAAGCGAGGGGUAACUCGUGUUUCUACCUAGCGGCGGACGGGUGAGUAACGCGUGGGCAACCUGCCUCAAGGACUGGGAUAACAGCUCGAAAGGGCUGCUAAUACCGGAUAAGCCUAUGGCCUCGCAUGGGGCCAUGAGCAAAGGGGAAACCCGCCUUGAGAUGGGCCCGCGUCCCAUCAGCUAGUUGGUGAGGUGAAGGCUCACCAAGGCGACGACGGGUAGCCGGCCUGAGAGGGUGACCGGCCACACUGGGACUGAGACACGGCCCAGACUCCUACGGGGGGCAGCAGUGGGGAAUCUUGCACAAUGGGCGAAAGCCUGAUGCAGCGACGCCGCGUGAGCGAAGAAGGCCUUCGGUUGUAAAGCUCUGUCUGGAGGGACGAAGGAAGUAGACGGUACCUCCGGAGGAAGCCACGGCUAACUACGUGCCAGCAGCCGCGGUAAAGUCACGUCG
rnacentral:rRNA from 1 species